rnacentral:rRNA from 1 species
UACGAAGGGGGCUAGCGUUGUUCGGAAUCACUGGGCGUAAAGCGCACGUAGGCGGAUGUGUCAGUCAGGGGUGAAAUCCCGGAGCUCAACUCCGGAACUGCCUCUGAUACAGCACGUCUUGAGUUCGAGAGAGGUGGGUGGAAUUCCUAGUGUAGAGGUGAAAUUCGUAGAUAUUAGGAAGAACACCGGUGGCGAAGGCGGCCCACUGGCUCGAUACUGACGCUGAGGUGCGAAAGCGUGGGGAGCAAACAGG